CCUACGGGGGGCAGCAGUGAGGAAUAUUGGUCAAUGGGCGGAAGCCUGUACCAGCCAAGUAGCGUGCAGGAUGACGGCCCUACGGGUUGUAAACUGCUUUUAUACGGGAAUAACGCGCCUUACGUGUAGGGCUUUGCAUGUACCGUAUGAAUAAGGACCGGCUAAUUCCGUGCCAGCAGCCGCGGUAAUACGGAAGGUCCGGGCGUUAUCCGGAUUUAUUGGGUUUAAAGGGAGCGUAGGCCGCAUGUCAAGCGUGCUGUGAAAUGUCCGGGCUCAACCCGGGCCUUGCAGCGCGAAAUGGCGUGCUUGAGUCCGCGGAAAGCAUGCGGAAUUCGGCGUGUAGCGGUGAAAGGCUUAGAUAGGAAGAAGAACCGCGAUUGCGAAGGCAGCUUGCUGCAGCGGAACUGACGCUGAUGCUCGAAAGCGCGGGUAUCGAACAGGAGUAGAGACCCCAGUAGUC
rnacentral:rRNA from 1 species